UUGCUUCAGCAGCACAUUUACUAAAACUGGAACGAUACAGAGAAGAUUAGCAUGGCCCCUGCCCAAGGAUGACAUGCAAAUUCAUGAAGCACUCCAUAUUAAA
ensembl:snRNA U6 U6 spliceosomal RNA